UGAUUAUUAGAAACAAAACAGUAUGCAGC
rnacentral:sRNA from 1 species